rfam:Schistosoma rodhaini strain Burundi genome assembly, scaffold: SROB_scaffold0001638
CCACUGCUGAGGAGUCCCAUAAUAGGACGAAACGGCCGUCCAGUGU